GGAUAUAGAGCUCAGUGGUAGAACACGUGCUUGGCAUACACGAAGUCCUGGGUUUAAUCCUCAGUGCCUCCG
rnacentral:tRNA from 1 species